CACUGUACUAAACUAACUAAAGUGGGGGAUAGUGAGGGGAUAAAUUUCCUUAAGGAACUCGGCAAAAUCCCAAUGGCCCACCAGGGCAUAUAUUGGAACACGGGCCUCGACUGUUUACCAAAAACAUAGCCCUCGGCCAAUAUGAAAAUAGAAGUAUGGAGGGUGAGGCCUGCCCAAUGGUUGUAUCUAAAAGCGGUUGAUAAAAGUCGACCGUGUAAGGACAAUUGAAUGGCCGCGGUAACACUGACCGUGAUAAUGUAGCGUAAUCAAUAGCCAAUUAAUUGUUGGCCAGUAUGAAUGGCGCCACGAAGGCCCCACUGUCUUAAGGAAAUUCCCAGUGAAAUUGAAUUCGUAGUGAAGAUGCUACGUCCAAUUUGUUAGACGAAAAGACCCCGUUGAGCUUUACUGGGGCACUUACACGGCCCCGGCCUUCAAAACUGGGUUGAUAAGCCAAGGCUUACCAUACCUAGGGACCGGCCGAAUUUAAAUGGGCGGCUUAGACUAUGUGGCAGCCCCCCCCGUCGGGGCAGAUGAAACCCCACUCCCCCAUGUCAAAGGGGCUAACCCCCCCCCUUGGGGGGGACAGUGUAAGUAGGACAGUUUGGUUGGGGCGACCGCCUUUUAGAGAGUAACGAAGGUGCGCUUAAGGUGCGUAAUUAAUGACUGAAGCCUGACUGCGAGGGGGACACCCCGAGCAGACACCCCCAAGCCCGCCCUCGCCUUCGUACCAACGGAGGGAGGGCGGCGGUGGGGUGGGCCAUAGUGACCCGUUAAUUUAGAGUGGAAUAGUUAACGAUC
rnacentral:rRNA from 1 species